UACGUAGGGUGCGAGCGUUGUCCGGAAUUAUUGGGCGUAAAGAGCUCGUAGGUGGUUUGUCGCGUUGUUCGUGAAAAACUCACAGCUCAACUGUGGGCGUGCGGGCGAUACGGGGCAGACUUGAGUACUGCAGGGGGAGACUGGAAUUCCUGGUGUAGCGGUGGAAUGCGCAGAUAUCAGGAGGAACACCGGUGGCGAAGGCGGGUCUCUGGGCCGAUACUGACGCUGAGGAGCGAAAAGCGUGGGGGAGCAAACAGGG
rnacentral:rRNA from 1 species